UGGGGAAUUUUGGACAAUGGGCGAAAGCCUGAUCCAGCAAUGCCGCGUGUGUGAAGAAGGCCUUCGGGUUGUAAAGCACUUUUGUCCGGAAAGAAAUCCUCUGGGUUAAUACCUCGGGGGGAUGACGGUACCGGAAGAAUAAGCACCGGCUAACUACGUGCCAGCAGCCGCGGUAAUACGUAGGGUGCAAGCGUUAAUCGGAAUUACUGGGCGUAAAGCGUGCGCAGGCGGUUUUGUAAGACGGAUGUGAAAUCCCCGGGCUUAACCUGGGAACUGCAUUCGUGACUGCAAGGCUAGAGUAUGGCAGAGGGGGGUUAGAAUUCCACGUGUGAACAGUGAAAUGCGUAGAGAUGUGGAGGAAUACCGAUGGCGAAGGCAGCCCCCUGGGCCAAAUACUGACGCUCAUGCACGAAAGCGUGGGGAGCAAACAGGAUUAGAUACCCUGGUAGUCCACGCCCUAAACGAUGUCAACUAGUUGUUGGGGAUUCAUUUCCUUAGUAACGUAGCUAACGCGUGAAGUUGACCGCCUGGGGAGUACGGUCGCAAGAUUAAAACUCAAAUGAAUU
rnacentral:rRNA from 1 species